CCUACGGGAGGCAGCAGUGGGGAAUAUUGGGCAAUGGGCGCAAGCCUGACCCAGCAACGCCGCGUGAAGGAAGAAGGCUUUCGGGUUGUAAACUUCUUUUGUCAGGGAAGAGUAGAAGACGGUACCUGACGAAUAAGCUACGGCUAACUACGUGCCAGCAGCCGCGGUAAUACGUAGGUGGCAAGCGUUGUCCGGAUUUACUGGGUGUAAAGGGCGUGUAGGCGGGUUGACAAGUCAGAUGUGAAAUCCUGCGGCUUAACCGCAGAACUGCAUUUGAAACUGUUGGUCUUGAGUACUGGAGAGGGAGAUAGAAUUCCUGGUGUAGCGGUGAAAUGCGUAGAGAUUAGGAGGAACACCAGUGGCGAAGGCGGUCUGCUGGACGGCAACUGACGGUGAGGCGCGAAAGCGUGGGGAGCAAACAGGAUUAGAUACCCGUGUAGUC
rnacentral:rRNA from 1 species